GGAAGCCUGCCUUUUCAUUAAACACCAGAGACCUUCCAGCAGACCUUCCCUCAGCCACAGGACUGGGAGAGAGAAGAGAAAAAAGGCUUCCUCCUGAGCCAGAGAUGUGGCAAGACGGGGAAAAAGUGCCAUGAGGGCCUGGUGCAGCAGGGCACAGUGCCAGCGGAGCAGCAACCAGCACAGGCUGAGAGCGGCUCUGCAGCAGCAGUGGCAGCUGUUGCUCCUGCUCACAGUGGGGAUCUGUCUGUUCCGUAGGUGCUCUGCGAGAGACAACAUUUACUGGUGAACAUACGCGCCCGUCCCUGGCUGCUAAGGACAGCGAGACAGCAGGAGCAUACCUGCUUUGGCAGAACUCGUUACUGGAGGUGCUGAAGUCCAAGAUUGCCUCUCAGGUCAAGCAAAGAAAAAAACGUUCCACCUCCUCAAAUGAGAUGUCUGCUGGCCUCCUCUCCGGGCUUGCUUUUCCAACGUUAGCAGAAGGAAAU